rnacentral:tRNA from 1 species
GGGGAUUUAGCUCAGUGGUAGAGCACUGGCCUAGCAAGCACAAGGCCCUGGGUUCGGUCCCCAGCUCCA